rnacentral:rRNA from 1 species
UACGUAGGGUGCAAGCGUUGUCCGGAAUUAUUGGGCGUAAAGAGCGUGUAGGCGGCCCGAUUAGUCCGCUGUGAAAGUCCAGGGCUCAACCCUGGAAUGCCGGUGGAUACUGUCGGGCUAGAGUCCGGAAGGGGAGACUGGAAUUCCUGGUGUAGCGGUGAAAUGCGCAGAUAUCAGGAGGAACACCGAUGGCGAAGGCAGGUCUCUGGGCCACUACUGACGCUGAGAAGCGAAAGCAUGGGGAGCGAACAGG